rnacentral:lncRNA from 1 species
GUAAUACAUAGUGAGACCCUGUCUUUAAAAAAAGAUACAAAAAAGGGUGAAUUUUAAGGUAUUACAUCUAUUAUUAAGGAUGAGUUCUUACAAAAAAUGUAUUGACACGUCACACACACACUUUUUUCAUUUUUUACUGCUUUCAGUCCUCUUACAAAUUAAAAACCCACUGACCGUCUGUUCUUUGUGUUACCUUCGUGCUCACGAUGGUCUGUGUAUUGACACCUUUAAUUUCCCCCAAAUCUUAGGAGGCGGAUGCUUUUGUCAUUACUUUUGUUUGUAGCACUGUGGAAGGAACCUAGGGUUCACGCAUGCAGACAAGUGCUGCACCACCGCACCGCACCCCCACCGAUCAUAGUGAAUGGAUGGCCGGUGUCACACAGUCUUGGAGGUCCGGAGCCUGGGUUCUGCACAGGCCAGGGAAGAGCCAGAAGUUGCACGGUGCCCGAUGUGAUGACCAAGCUGUAAUGAAGACACAGUGUAAUGUAUUUAUGAGUCCAUCUCUCUUCUCCAUGUCAGUCAGCAGGAGCAUCCACCAUAUUUUUGACCACACUUUUAAAGACCCUCAUGAAAGAGGACUUCCAGAGCUGCUUCAGAAAGUGACAAGAAUGAUGGGAUAAGUGUGUUUGAAGAACUUACUCUUUGACUUGGCUGAGGAUGUGCUUGGGAUUGAGUCUAUAAUCUCCUUCUUCAGCCCGGAAUACUGUGAGUCAGGAUGGAGAAAUGUAAGAAUGGGAAAGGAAGAUUGUUAGGUUGUUUAGUCUGGGAGAAGGAGCUCAUCAGAGAAGGAUUUAGUCCUUGCCAUUUGGAUCUGGGGCUGAAUCCACUGAUUUAGUGUCAGUGUGUGCCAUAGCAUUGCAUUUGCUUCUUAAAUGUGGAUGUACAGACAUUUGACCUCGUGGGCCAUGAGAUGAGUACUGGUCAACCACUUUUUGUUGUUAUGAAGUGAGAUAUGCCUAUUUUGGAAUGUGAAGGAACCAACUUGAUUCUUCCUUGAGCCUUUGGAUUAUGAAAAAAACUCACUGGAAAAUAACCCCCCCCCCAAAAUAUAGUACUACAUCCAAAUAUUUGAUUGCCUAUUUA